CCUACGGGAGGCUGCAGUAGGGAAUCUUCCACAAUGGGCGAAUGCCUGAUGGAGCAACGCCGCGUGGGUGAAGAAGGUCUUCGGAUCGUAAAACCCUGUUGUUAGAGAAGAAAGUGCGUGAGAGUAACUGUUCACGUUUCGACGGUAUCUAACCAGAAAGCCACGGCUAACUACGUGCCAGCAGCCGCGGUAAUACGUAGGUGGCAAGCGUUAUCCGGAUUUAUUGGGCGUAAAGGGAACGCAGGCGGUCUUUUAAGUCUGAUGUGAAAGCCUUCGGCUUAACCGGAGUAGUGCAUUGGAAACUGGGAGACGUGAGUGCAGAAGAGGAGAGUGGAACUCCAUGUGUAGCGGUGAAAUGCGUAGAUAUAUGGAAGAACACCAGUGGCGAAAGCGGCUCUCUGGUCUGUAACUGACGCUGAGGUUCGAAAGCGUGGGUAGCAAACAGGAUUAGAUACCCUGGUAGUC
rnacentral:rRNA from 1 species